UACGGAGGGUGCAAGCGUUGCUCGGAAUUACUGGGCGUAAAGCGCGUGUAGGCGGUCUCGUAUGUCUGAUGUGAAAUCCCCGGGCUCAACCCGGGAAGUGCAUUGGAAACUGCGAGACUAGAGUCCCGGAGAGGAAGGUGGAAUUCCAGGUGUAGCGGUGAAAUGCGUAGAUAUCUGGAAGAACACCGGUGGCGAAGGCGGCCUUCUGGACGGUGACUGACGCUGAGACGCGAAAGCGUGGGGAGCAAACAGG
rnacentral:rRNA from 1 species